AAGGAAAUGUCUAAAUGGGAAAUGGACUUUCUGACAUUUCCUUUGUCCUGUCGAGCAAGAAUUCGCCAGCAAUGCUAAAUGGUGCUGGUGCAGUUUGAACAGGGCUUAAGGGCCAGCACCUACGACAGCACCAUCAGCAUUCAAUUGCUCGUUCGACGAGGACAUGUACGGCUUCGUGCAGGCCACCGAUGACGACAUCGACUGGGGAAGAUAUACGGUAUACACGUGGUCCGAGGAGACUGGGCCCGAGCACGAUCAUACUACUGGGAAAGGAUACUAUAUGUACACAGAAAGCUCCCCCCUUCCAGCAGGCACGGUCGCCAAGAUCCAAAAAAAGAUUUCCCUGACCGGCUCGUCUUGCCUGUCGUUCUACUAUCACAUGUAUGGCGAGAAAAUGGGUACCCUGAAGGUCCUUGUCGCAGGUAAUGAGAUGUUCCAGAGGACUGGGGAGCAGGGAUCCGACUGAAUCCGGACCGAAGUGAAGCUGCCGGGGACUGGGGAAACUCAGGUGGAGUUCCGCGGGGUGUUGACUGGUCACUACACUUCAGACAUGGCUAUUGAUGACGUUGAACUCAAAGACUGUCAAUAACUUUUGAAGAAUGCGUUAAUAAAACGGAAGAUACCCUAA